UUUCAGUACAUUUUAAUUUUAUGUGCUUUCAGAAAUGAUAUUCGUCAAGGCUCACAAAACGAUUGGAACGUAGCUGAAGUCAGGUUUCUAUUAGUAACAUCGUUAGAAUAUACCUAGAGUUCUCAGUGAGUUUUAAGGUCACCAUAAAUGUAUUUCAGAGUAGAAAGAUGUGAAUUUUUAAUGUAGGAAGGAAAUUUCUGAGAAAAAUACUGUGGGAUAUUUUGUACCUAAUAAUAACAUGAGGUAACUUUGAUUGUCUCUUUCAUGGUGUUCUUGCUAGGAUCAUCUAGUCUGAAAGCAGAACCCUGAUCUAUUUCUCCAGCAAAAUAAAUCAAAAAGUUGUGGAAAGAAAAAAAAAAAUCAUAAACAGCCUCAUAAAUGGAAACUCAUUUUCCGGCCUCCUACCUGGAUUGCUCCCAAGUAGGGCAGAGUGUGUCUUGGAGAGAGAAAAGGAACUGGUCUAAGCGUGGCUAGAGAUGAACAGCAGGUCAAAAAUCAACCUUUACUUAGUCUAAAUAGGGACUGCAUUUUACUGUGUGUAAUGAAUUUGCUUUUUGCUUUUCUUUAGAAUUAUUCUCAAAAACAAAUAUAACUGUUAAGAAACAUUUUUUUAAGCAAUGAUUUCUGUAAAUACUUUUUUU
ensembl:lncRNA